UCCGGCUUGCCACCGGCAGUUCCACUAGAGUGCCCAGCUUAACCUGAUGGCAACUAGUAGCGAGGGUUGCGCUCGUUGCGGGACUUAACCCAACAUCUCACGACACGAGCUGACGACGACCAUGCACCACCUGCGCAGGACCCUUGCGGACCUCACAUCUCUGUGAGAUUUCCCUGCAUGUCAAGCCUUGGUAAGGUUCUUCGCGUAGCUUCGAAUUAAACCGCACGCUCCGCUGCUUGUGCGGGCCCCCGUCAAUUCCUUUGAGUUUUAGCCUUGCGGCCGUAGUCCCCAGGCGGAGCACUUAUCGCGUUAGCUGCGCUACCGGAGGGGUCGAUACCCCCGACAGCUAGUACUCAUCGUUUACAGCGUGGACUAC
rnacentral:misc_RNA from 1 species